rnacentral:lncRNA from 1 species
UUGUAGAAAUUAAGAAUCCAAAAAAAGGUGUUACAUUUAAAGUUAAUGUUUAAAAAUUAAAACCAUAUUUAGAAUACUAACCGCGUAAAGAAGACCCCAAAAUAAAUUUGAGUUACCACCAAAUCUUAAUUAAGUCUUUUUCGUUUUUAAUGGGUAAUUUUUCUUUUUCUUUUUCUUUUUGAAAUUGUUACUUUACUAUUUUUUAAUUGUUUUAUUGUUUCUUUC